GUGGCCACAGCCAGUUCCGGCGGUCAGGGACUCCACAGCCAAGGCAGUUGCUGCUGCUCACAGCCUUGGGGGCUCUUUUCCGGUGGUUUAGACAGGAUGAGGCAAGCUGAUUGUCUCUGUCUGUCAAAACUGGCCUGGCUGUGUCCCUUCCCAUUCCCAGUCCACUCAGCCCGACCAACACUGAGCAAGAGCGGCCUUUAUAGGACAGGUGGCUGCCAGUGGUGGCAAGCAACGGAUGCUCUGGACCAGACAGACAGUCAAUUUGGAGUCAAAGACCUGGACUUGAACUCCAGCUCAUCAACUUGCAACCUGUGUAGUGCUGACCAAAUUGCUUUCUGAGUCCUCACAGUCAACAGCAGUUGGGUAAGCGAGAUGGCUCAGUGGGUUAAGGUGCUCAUCAUCAGGCCUGCCAGCCGGAGCAUAAUCGCCAGAAUCCUCCUGAUGAAGAGGGAGGAUGGACUCCACCCCUGACUUCCACACAUGCCCAAGUGAACACACACACACACACACACACACACACACACACACACACACACACACACACACAAACACAAAUCUAUGAUCUUCCCCCUGAAGGUAAGCAAUACAUGGAAAUGGAAACUUGGCUUCCCUUCAAGAUAGUUUUCAGCACCAAAUUAAUAGCUAUCCUUGAGAGCUUGAAUAGAAAGCUCUGGAAUAUACUGGUGUGAAAAUGCCAUAAUAAGUGCUGGAGAGAUGGCUUAAGAGCACUGACUGCUCUUCUGAAGUUCCUGAGUUCAGUUCCCAGCAACCACAUAGUGGCUCACAACCAUCUGUUAUUGUAUCUGAUUACCCUCUUCUGCUGUGUCUGAAGAGAGCAAUAGAGUACUCAUAUACAUAAAAUAAAUAAAUAAAUUUAAAAAAAAGAAAAAAGAAAGUGCUAUAAUAAAACCCCUUACUUUGUAUGGUAAUCUUUUUGUUUAUUUUUAUUUCAUUGCAUUGGUGUUCUGCCUACAUUUAUGUCUGUGUGAAGGCAUCAGAUCUCCUGGCACUGAAAAUUACAGACCAGCUGCCCUUGGGUGCUGGGAGUUGAACCAGGGUUCUCUGGAACAGUAGUCAGUACUCUAAAUUGCUGAACAAUCUCUCCAGCCCAAAGAGAUUUUUGGUUUUAUUUUUUAUUUGUUAUUGUUUUUGUUUUUAAGACAGGGUUACUUUAUAACUCUGCCUGUCCUUGAAUUAUCUCUGUGGACUAGGCUGGCCUUGAACUCAGAGAUCUGUCUAUCUAUGCCUUCUGAGAGCUAGGAUCAAACAUUCUGAUUUGUUUGUUUGUUUAUUAUUUAUUAUUGACAUAAAAGAUCAAUAAAUAAAUGAAUCUGAAUGUUUGUGCCCACCCUUCUAGUUCAUAUCUUAAAAUGUAACCAACUGUAUGGUAGUAUUAGAAAGUAGAAUGUUGGGCUGGAAAGAUGGCUCAGUGGGUAAGAGCAUUGACUGCUCUUCCAAAGGUCCUGAGUUCAAAUCCCAGCAACCACAUGGUGGCUCACAACCACCUAUAAUUAGAUCUGUCACCCUCUUCUGGUGCGUCUGAAGUCAGCUACAAUGUACCUACAUAUAAUGAUAAUUAAAUCUUAAAAAGAAGAAGAAAAAGUGGAGAGUUUGUGGAAGUGAUCAGAGCUCUCCUGAAUUGAAUUAAUGUUUUUAUUUUCUAAGCAGGAUCAGGAGACCCAGCAGACUCCAAAAAUCCUGUCAGUGCUCAUUCCUUCUCCCAUGGGUGGAAGAAAAAAAAAAAAAGCCUUCCCAGAACCUGACUAUGAGGGCAUCCCGAUCUUGGCGUGUCUAGCUUUCAGACCCAUGAAAGACAAAGGUAUAAGCUAUGAGGUAUAAGUUCGUGUAUAGUGUUUGAACAACCCAAGCAGACUUCUGUGAGGUUCUACUUUUUAUCCUCAGCCUGCAUAGUUUUUCCCAUGUCUCAUCCUAAGAUAGAGCCCUCAACCCCUGGAGCUCCCUCACAGUUGCCUACCAGUGUCCUUGACUUUGAGAGGUAGUGUCGAUGAUGUAAUAUAAUGGACUAAUUUCCUCACAUGACAGACGGAAGACAAGGUCCAGCUUUUGGAAGCAAUAAUGAAUAACAGUGAAUGGAAAAGCUGCCUUUCACUGGAGGAGGAGGCAGAACAUUGCCUUCAGCCAGAGUCCAGCUUGUAAUACACAUUGAGUAACAGGCUGGCACAGCAAUAUAAGCAAGACAUUGUCUCCAGAAAGGAAAAUUUGCUUCACUAAUCCUGAUCCCAAGACCAGCUCCAUCCUUCCUUCCAAACAUAGAUGACCCACCACCUCCUGGAAACUGAUCUGGAGGAAGCGCCAUAUGUAUCCUUCUAUCCUAUGGUCCUGACAAGUCCUAUCACAUACAUAGAAUUGCUAUUUCUUUCUAUACACUGCCCUGUCCAGCCCUGAGUCUUCAACAUAAAUGUUCUCCUUAGCUAAACGUUUUGGAGCCUGCUUUUUCCAGGUGGUUCAACAUUGCUUGGUGCAGAAGAGAUGAAUGAGUUCCCUAAAGAAGGCAUUCUCAUUCCCACGGAGACACAGUGGUGAGCGACUCCAUCCUAGUCUCUUCCCUGGUGACAGUUAUACCUGCUCUGCCAAGUUCUAGGAUGGGAAGUUUCUAAGAUCUAGCCACUUUAUGAUAAGGAUCCAAGACCGGACAAAAUUCAUGAUGACAUCACAGUGACAGGAGGCCCAAGAGAAUAAGCAACCACAUCAGAGAAAGAAAGCCAGAGAACUACUCAGGAGUCAGGCCCAGCUCAGAAGUCCAAUGAGACAUAUUGGUUUUCCAUUGUUGUUGUUUGUUUGUUUUGUUUUGUAUUGUUCUAUGCUGGUUUUGUGGGGUUUUGGUUGUUUUGUUUUGUUUUGUUUUGCUUUGAUAAAGGGUUUCAUUCUAUAAAUUCCAGAAUACAUUAUGUAGCGCAGCAGGCCUAAAACUCACAGUGAUCCUCCUGCCUCAGCUUCCCAUGUGCUGGGAUUAUCGGCAUAAGCUACCAUACUAGGUCCCUGAUGAUGUAUUUUGAUUCCUUCUGUGUGUAGUUUCCCCAUAUAAACUCAGAACCUCUCACUGGGCUCUUCCUCCUGCUGGCCCAAUCACCUCUCAGCACACCAUGAACCAUGCUCCAGAAAUAUAAAUACUUGGGGGAACACAAACAAACCACAUCCACCUAGUAUCAUGACUAAGCUUUCAACAGGAAACUAUUCUUUUUUCCUUGUUAUUUCUCAACAGAGCUAUAAAAGUGUUUCCGCGUGUGUGCGUGUGCGUGUGCGUGUGCGUGUGUGUGUGUGUGUACAGCUUCUGCACAUUGUAAACGUUCACACUAAGACCUGAGAAAGGCUUUGCCUUCCCUCUGAGCCUCACCCAGAGAAGACUUUGCCAGUCACAUGAUGCUCAGAUGUUGGGAUCCCUGAUGUUGCUGUGUCCAUGGCAACAACACACAUUCACUCAGGACUGAAGCAGUCCCUAGAAAUUAGCCCAUUGUUAUUUAUUUCUGCUUAUGGUGACUUGUGGGGCAUUGGGCUAUGCACUGACAGGCUAGUCUCCAGUCUAGCUGAGGUCUGAAUCCCCAGAAUUGUGAUAAUUCACCUACGUUGCCUCGUGGUCCUGGAACUCUGGCUCCUGUCCAAGUUACAGCCCUCUCAGCCCCCACAAGAAAAGCAUGGCUAGAGUCAAGUAGGCAAUGUCCCAAACUUCUGACCUUCAUGCUAGACUCCUCCCCAGUUACCU